UAGGUAAUGAAAAAGUGCUUCCCCUUACUUUCGUAGGUACUGUUAAUAAAUCUAUUAGCAACUGUUGGUAGAUCAACUUCUUAAUCUCUGCGAACAUGAAGAAUUGAAGUAUCAUUAUAACGUUUUUGAAACGUUCUUGAUCUGACUAGCUGAGAUAUGUCUUAAGUCUCCAAAGUGCAGAAAAUUAUCUCUUAACUGUGCAAGAAGAUACUGAAAUUAUUAACACAAUUUUUAAUACUUUAUUUAAAUCUGGUAGUAAGUACAGGCAUCUUAUUAGUCCUGAAAAGAUUAUUUAAUACCUCUGUGUUGUAAAUUAAAAUAACUCUUGUUUUUGAUGGGACCACAUAAAAAAGGCGAUCAUAUUUCAGCCGAAAAAUAUUUUUCCAGAAUCGUAUUUGAGCUGACAGUAUUUCAGCCAACAGUUCGAAUAUACAUAGAUACAUAGAUAAUAGAUAUGGAUACGAGUUUGGUAGAUAAGGCCGGAC